UCGGUGAUGUCCUCGGAAAUCCUUACAGUCUCCUGCCACCUCCAAGUUGAUCCCAUCGUUUGUAAAUCGGGUGGGUUUUGAAGCAGCUCGGGUGCCGCUGGCUCGGCAGCCGGCAGUUGCGGUGCUCCUUGCGCUCGGGGGUCGAGCACCGCCGCCGUGCUUCGCGCGAACGCAAACGCGUUCGAGGAGGCUCGUGCCUCCCUCAGCCGGGGCGCGUUUAGCAAGCGCGGUUUGCGGUGCAGCACUGCCGCCGCAGAAAGCCCUGGACAGCCUUUGGGGACGGAGCGUGCUGCGAGGAGCUCCGUCAGAGACCAUCUGUCCCCUCCAUGACCCACGAAGAGCCCCAGGCUGGUGGCAUCUCGUGGUGAGAUGGUGCAAAGGCAGGUGAUCGGCCAGGCACAGCGACAGACUGGAGGGGGAAAACGGGAGAAUGGGAAGAACCGAAGGGACUGGAGCUUGCUGAGCUGUAUCUGCUUCUAAUGGCUUUGGGACCGAGCGCUACCCGAGCAGCGCACAGAGCCGUGGGAAGGCUUAUUCCUGUUGGGAAAAGAAUUACCGGAGAGUGGUGAAGCGAGGAUGCCGCGGCACAGAAAGCCGAGCUGCCCCAGCGCCGGGGAAGCUGCUGAUGGCCACGAGGGGCAGGGGGAGGAGGUGGCCCAGCAGGGAAACGCUGCUGGGUGCAGAGCAGCGUGUUUAUUUUCUAUAAGGAAACGUGCAGUUUUGAGUGACUGGGCUUCUUCCUUCUUGUGUGACACCUGCAUGAAGGACACUCAUCUUUUCAGGGAGCUUUGGCUUCUUUGCUGUUUCCAUCCGUGCUGUGCAGUGGCGUUUCAUGCAUGGAUACCGAGAAGGACCUUCCUGGCCGGGGGAUGCCAUCACGCCGUGUGAGCUACCUUGGGCUUGUCCUCUCCUUUGGUCCUUUCGCUUAGCGGCGCACGCUAACGGGGACAGCUCGAGGUCGCUGAGAGUGAGGCAUCCUCCAAAAGCAUCAGCAGCAGACGGGUAUCUGCAGAUGAAGACCUGGCAAUCGUUGCUGUGUUCAGCGCCUUCCCUUGGAUGUGCCAGCAGCUAAAACAGGCUUUUCUUUGACUGUACAGCGAGGAACGGUGGGCUGCAGCAUGUGGGGGGCCCAGGGCUGCCAAGGUAACAGAGUGAGCAGUGAUGGGUGACUGCUUUACCUUCGAUAUCUCAGGUGGUCAGGACAGCUAUAUCGAGAUUAAAUUUUUGCUUGCAAUGAGGUACUGUUUUACAACAGUUGGAAAUAUUUUUGGAGCUCUUUUAAAUAAAAAAAAAAUAGUACAAGCACUGAAUGUUUCGGAAAGCAGACUGCAACUCGUAAAGAACAUUUGUCCUUUUUUUCUUCUUUCUUGCAUAAUGCCGAAUGCAGGGCAGUCCUCGUACCAUGUUGGGAGUCCCAGGCCUGCUGCUUUCUGAUAAUGAAUAAUAACAGGGUCCUGACAAGGCUUCACCCGACUGCACUGCAAACCUGUCAUGCCGGGGUGCUGCCCGUUCGCAGUCGCCCGUCAAUGAGCUGAUGUUCCCCUUCUGGUCUUGCUGGCUGCAAGCAGCGUUUCGGCCUUGGCACGGGUUGCGUCGUGACUCCGCUCCAUCAUUUCCAUCACACUGCAGCGCGAGGGCAUUGUGCCUUGCUCAUUCGCUGAUACGGUCUUGGCCGUUAGCUGGAACGCAAAGUAGAUAUUAACUACUCCUGAUAAUGCCUCUGACACACAGCCACUUAUUUCAUCCAUCAUUUUGGUCCUCGUUGUACUACGUGUCUCAGAAUUUCUCCAGUUUGUCCUGGAAAGGUCGAAACACUGUGUCACAGUCACCGCCUUGCUCUUUCUUCAGUUCUUCCUUGCUUUCUGUGCGGAUUGACUUGGAAGAUAUCUAGAGACAGCGAAAAAGCUCUUUUGACACUUCCAGACUAAUUCCUGUUGCUACAACAAAAAAAGGGCAAUAGCUUUCACUCAAUGGAAAACUGUCUAAUGGCUGCCUGGGAGUCUCAUUUCCAUGUCCGCGAAUAGCUGCAGACUGUCAUGGCAGUAGCCUUCCCUAUAUCUGAACUUGUUGCAAUCGUGUUGUAGAAGCAGGCAUUUGGCAAAGUAAUUAAAAGCUUUGAAGAUUUUAUGACUGUCGUUGCAGAUAUUAUAUGGUGCUAUUUGACAAUUCGUUUCAGUCUCUGCGUGAAACGCCUAAAAUUGUAGGCAUUUCCUAAAAUAAUUGAUGCUACUGUUAUUGUCAUAUUUUGAAAUCGAUCGUUAUGGACAUUCUGUUGCACCAGUUGUUCUGUGAAAACUUGCGGGUUCGUUUUGUCAGAACUAGUGUCUUCAGCACGUUCCCGUGCUCAGGAUGUUGAUGAUGACAAGCAGCACAAAGAAGCGUAAACCAGACUGAUGCAGAUGUCUAAAGGACGUCAUUGCCACGUGCUUUGCCCCAGUUCAAUACACAGUACUCUCUACUUCUUAUCUGGGAACUUCCUCCUAUGACAAUUUUUUUCUACUGGACUUUCUCCUUGCAAUCAUUUCUGUUGUUCGAUAGGCAGCAAAAGUCCAGAUUACCACAACACUACCAAAAUCCUAGAAUUGACCCUGGGGCCGAGUAAACCACAGAAGUCUUGAGCUAGCAAGAAGUACCCCCUACCAGACACUGUCUACUGGUUCUUCUGACAGAAAGCUGGAGGAGGACCACAAAGCUUUGUACCUUCCGAGGUGCAUCAUCAGCAUGAGAACAUGUAAUCGUCUAGUUGAAAUCUCAGGCAGGAAACAUGGCCAUCUCCAAUUCUGUGGUCAAGCGAGGUAAUGCCGUAUCCUGGAGAGCAUUAGGGAUGGAUAAGAAUGGUCAGUACCUGCUUGCUGCAGACACAAAGAGUUCUUCCUGGGACCUGUUCUAGGAAUAAGCUGGAAUUGUGUCCCCCAGGACAUCUUACUGUUAAAACUGAUGAGCUGAAGUCUGCAAGGGUCUGUUUUCCAGUUCUCCGCCACUGCAGGACAAGGUUAUAUAAAAUGUAAUUAUACUGGUUUAAAUAAAUAUAAAGUGAAUGGAUGCAAAUAUUAAAAAUGAAAUCAAAAGAUUGCAGUGAUCCUAUUUUUGAAAAUAGUUGUAGGCUCCACUAAGAGAUAGGUCUGAUUGCAAAGCAAAUAGUAGAGGGCAAGAUAAAUCAUGCAGUCUUACAAGCAAAUACGAAGCACUCUAUAAUAUAGAAAACCUGUCUGAUCUGAUAGUCUCAAAUAAUUUAAGCACUUAAUUUAUGAGUGCAUACUAUUUUCAGUCAUUUCCAAAACUUCCUGAAGAUCUUAGUCAUUUGACAAAAUAAUUGGCUUCAUAAUGUGUCAGUAAUGUACAUAGUCCGUGUGUGUGUUGACAUAUGGUCUCUCUGGCUAUGAAACUUAAAUCCUUCUUGGGACUAAAACACAGGAACUGAUGUGCAGAAUAAGGAUUGACUCCUACUUUUCCACUAGAUGCAGAAGAAGAUAAUUGUACUAACUCCUAAAGUCUCAACUGCUGCUGGAUCUUUCGCAUGGGCAAAAGGUAGACAGAAGGGACAGACUAUUCCCGUCAGCAUGCUGGAGGGACGUAGCAUAGUGCCGUCGCCAUUUCUUUGGAAAAUAUUCCAAUUCAAGCACUUAACUGAUCUAAGUGCAGCAGAAGAGGAAAGGGGCGCAACUGAUGUGACAUAAAAAUAACACGUGACGUUUUAGGGCUUUUAACCGGCAUCCAGAAUUCUGUCCAGAAGCUCCUGAUGUCUUUGUCCUUCUGACCCUGGCUACCUGUAAACUGGCACGGGUUGCUUCUUCGUUAUUGGUUUGUAUUUCGCUCCAUCACUCUCUGUGACAAAUAUGUACAGCAAUUUGUUUGUGGAAAGGCAGAGAAGAAAAAGCGGUUAUAAAAAGCUAUGGCUUGUCCGACAGGACGUGAAGGUCUUUUAACUGGUUACUUGGCAUUCAGGUCAUUUGCUUGCUGAGCUGUCGCACGAAAUAGUUCAUGGUAAAACUAAAGAAUUUCUGUCUGGCUUUCCAAUAUUUUCUUACUCCUUGACAAGGGAUAUGGUACUCUUGGGGAGAGAGUCGUCAUCUCCUCUGCAUCAGAUAACUGUUUUCAUGGAGCUUUUUGGUGAUGUUUUGUCUUCCCGUGGAACGGAGCUCUCCCAGAGUGUUUCAGUGUUGCCUUCAGGACUAUAAGGCAAAAAGUGAAUUUCUGGGCUCAGCUGCGUUUCCUAAUCCUGGCACAAUGAUUUUGAAGCGUGACUGGGCGUAUUGCAGCGCUCCUUGAAGUUGCUUUGGCAGCGGGCAACGGUGCUGGGUGGUUUUUUUGGAGCGCCUAGCCCGAUGAAAAAAGUAAUCCCAGGAGGUGGCCGGGCAGCACCGCCGGCAUUCCUGCGUCACGGUAACAACUCGAAGCUCUAUUUGGCUUUAAAAUGAGUCUUCCGAGGAGGCUGGCGGAUAUCGAUUCCUUCACUGCGGGUGGCUAAUGCAGCUCCCCAGCCCCUGGCCGCGGUGGCUCUUUGCUGCCCGGCCUGGGACAGGUCUCGUCCCCUGCGGGGGGAAGGCCGUGCCCAACCAGUGCUGAUUGCCGGCCUCGUCGGCGGCCCUUGCUGAGAGGUCGAGGAGGGGUCUGCAGCGAGCCGUCGGGAAGGUCCCGCGCUGCUCCCUCAGCCGCCGCGCCUGGCCUGGCAGCCUGGCACCAAGCGGACCCGGCUCGCUCAACAUUAGUGCUAAAAGCAGAGGAAAACGUUGACAGGGAGAUUUGCUUUUCUUUUCGUUUUUAACCUUACAGAGAGACUGGUUGUUGGUGGGGCGUGUAAACCUGUGUGUUCUCCCCAGCAUCACUGGACGUCAACCCAAAUAACACGGCGUCUUUACCUCUGAGAUGCUUAAUCAUUUCUAACAUUUUCACCUGAAACACUGCUUAGUUAAAACCUCAGUCAAAUCAAGCAAGAACUGAAACGGUGAAAAUUAGAAUCAGUUUGCUCUCCCACAUGCUUAAAAUGUACGUGGUUUUGCCAGGACUCAAGUGCAUGGAGUUUACUAGACGUUCAGGUUUGUUUGUGCAGUUUCAGAGGACCCGACUGUGCUUUUAACAGCACGUCCUGUCAACCGGACUGAACAACCUCUGCACAGGCCUGACUGUAACCUGGGAAAAACACGGGUCUGGCUGGCAGCAGUGCUGCGCCCUUCGAAGACUCCAGACGAUUUUCUCAUGUACAGAAACUUAUGUACGCAUAUUUUGGCAAUAAGAAUCAGCAUUAGGAAUGGAAGACUCAAUUAUAUUUUAUUGUUAUAUUUAACAAGAAAGGCAUAAUAUAAAUUAGUAAGAAUGUGUAUAAACUCAAUUUAAUAACUGUGAGAAGAAAGAUGCUUGCAUCCUCCAGUAUGUGGAAUUUAUAGCCUGGUGCAAUGUAAUCACGUUUAUAUGAGGGUGAGCAUAAUAAACUGUAGAAAUUCACACUGCAGUGAAUGAUAACAGUAGACAUAAUUCUAAUGAUACUCAGUACCACAUCUGAAACGCUGAACAUAACCUUGUAAUUUGUGUAACAGAGACAAUAGAAGAAGAUUGUUUUGUUUUGUGGGGUUUUUGUAAGUGAAAGACACUAACCAAAGACUUAAAACAAAUGAAAAACCAGGCUAACACCAUUGAAAUCUGCUAUUUAUACACCUCAUCUUCUGUUUUCCAUGCGCAUUAAGAGCAUGAUCCCAAUAAUUCCUUUAAGGUCCCUAUCGAGACCUUUUGACCCUCGUACGACAGCAAAAACGGGCGAGUGGAGCGCUCCUGAUGCUGCCGUCCAACUCCAAGCCGUGCACCUUCCUUUCUCAGACAGCUUCUCAAGCUGCCGACCGGGCGUGAAGCCUUGCGAGUCAAGCAGACGAUGGCUGCUGUGCUGCCCUUAGCUGGUCGAGCCCCCCGCCGUGACGGCAGGCCCUCGCGGGAGGCCUGGUAACUCGGGUUUUAAAUCCAGCAGGGAUUUCAGCCUCCCUUUUUGGCCGUAAGAUUUGGUUCUUUCAGAGAAGUCGGCUGCGUGCAAUUGAUACUCCUGGAGCCUCGAGCGCAGAACAGAGUUUUAGCAUCUAUUGCUAAGCUUGACAUUUCUCUGCGUUUCCUACGCCGCUUCCCAGCCUGUGACCUAAAUUACAAGUGGAAGAUAUUACGCCUGGAUUUUAACUUAAGAGCUCACUACACCCACAGGACAAAUUAAAGCGCAGUGUUGUUUUUUGAUUGAAGGUAAGCAAGCAGGAAAAUUAUACUGUAUUCUUCGUUUAAACUACUGUCAGAAAUGUGAAGACUUUUGAGCAAUAUCUUGCUCUUUCGUCUCUAAAACCUGUCUCAUAACCCCACUGAAUUUAGACAGAGCACCGUCCUGCUUUCACUUUUGGCUUGUUAUGUUGCAAUAAAAUGCCAUCUAGCCUUAA